rnacentral:rRNA from 1 species
GAUGAACGCUGGCGGCGUGCCUAAUACAUGCAAGUCGAACGGCACCGGGCAACCGGUGUAGUGGCGAACGGGUGAGUAACGCGUUGGUGACCUGCCCCGAAGUUUGGGAUACCAGUUCGAAAGGACUGCUAAUACCGGAUGUAGUUGUGUAGAUUAGAGGCUAUACAACGAAAGGUUUCGAUCGCUUCGGGAGGGGCCUGCGUCCCAUCAGCUAGUUGGUAAGGUAACGGCUUACCAAGGCGAUGACGGGUAGGGGACCUGAGAGGGUGGCCCCCCACAAUGGAACUGAAACACGGUCCAUACACCUACGGGUGGCAGCAGUAGGGAAUAUUGCAAAAUGGGCGAAAGCCUGAUGCAGCAACGCCGCGUGGGCGAUGAAGGCCUUCGGGUCGUAAAGCCCUUUUUGCGGGGAUGAGGAAGGACAGUACCCGCAGAAUAAGCCUCGGCUAACUACGUGCCAGCAGCCGCGGUAAAACGUAGGAGGCGAGCGUUAUCCGGAU